GACGAACGCUGGCGGCGUGCCUAAUACAUGCAAGUAGAACGCUGAAGAGAGGAGCUUGCUCUUCUUGGAUGAGUUGCGAACGGGUGAGUAACGCGUAGGUAACCCGCCUUGUAGCGGGGGAUAACUAUUGGAAACGAUAGCUAAUACCGCAUAACAAUGGAUGACACAUGUCAUUUAUUUGAAAGGGGCAAUUGCUCCACUACAAGAUGGACCUGCGUUGUAUUAGCUAGUAGGUGAGGUAAUGGCUCACCUAGGCGACGAUACAUAGCCGACCUGAGAGGGUGAUCGGCCACACUGGGACUGAGACACGGCCCAGACUCCUACGGGAGGCAGCAGUAGGGAAUCUUCGGCAAUGGGGGCAACCCUGACCGAGCAACGCCGCGUGAGGGAAGAAGGUUGUCGGAUCGUAAAGCUCUGUUGUAAGUCAAGAACGGGUGUGAGAGUGGAAAGUUCACACUGUGACGGUAGCUUACCAGAAAGGGACGGCUAACUACGUG
rnacentral:rRNA from 1 species